ACAUGCAAGUCGGUAGGAAACCGAAAGGUGACCGACCCUUCGGGGAGCUUGCACAGGUGCUGCAUGGCUGUCGUCAGCUCGGUGUCGUGAGAUGUUCGGUUAAGUCCGCUAACGAGCGCAACCCUCGCUGUGUGUUAUAUGUGUCACACGGGACUGCCGGUCUUAAGCCGGAGGAAGGUGGGGAUGAUGUCAAGUCAGCAUGGCCUUUAUAUCCUGGGCUACACACACGCUACAAUGGCCAACACAAUAGGUUGCUAAGCCGCGAGGUGGCGCCAAUCCAUAAAGUUGGUCUCAGUUCAGAUUGUAGGCUGCAACCCGCCUGCAUGAAGAUGGAGUUGCUAGUAACCGCAGGUCAGCUAUACUGCGGUGAAUACGUUCCCGGGGCUU
rnacentral:rRNA from 1 species